rnacentral:lncRNA from 1 species
GGCACGGUCAGCGCAGUUCAGGGGCACUGUCUCCACAGUGACCUCAGCUGCCGUCGCCAAGUCCCAGGCAGAGCAUCUUCAGAUAGCAUCACGCUAAACCCUCCCUCCAAACCCACAUCCAGAGGUCCAGGGAGACGUCGAGGCCCAGAGUCCCCCUCACCAGCUCCUCGCGGGCAACCGUUUAUUAACAGGUCAACAGAGCACCGGUCAGGGCGGACGGCAGGAGCCACAGGAACACGCCACCCUCCCGGCCUCCAGGGGAGCCAAGCAGCUCCCACAAGCUCAGCAAGCACGAUGCCAUGAUUAGUGUCCCUGCUCCAUCCUGCAUGACCUCGGGAGGUCACUUAGCCUUCCUGGGACUCAGUUUCUCCAGCUCUAAGAUGAACGGUGAUAAUGGCAUCUGUCUCACCAGGUUACUCUGAGGACUGAGUGAAACGCCCAGGACGUGGAAUGGCACGUAGUAAGUGCUCAGGAAACACCAACGGUUGUUAUGGAGCCAGACCCAGCGCACAGCCUCUGACAGCUGGUCAGGCCGAGGUCUUCCCCGCAAGCCAGCAGCAGCAGGUGGGCGAGGCCCUCAGGACAGUUGAGUGGCCCCUGCCGCCCACCAGCACGGACAGCUCCUGGCCUUGUGUGACCCACUUUCUCAGUUUAAAAUGGGCCCUGGGAUGGCUGCUGUCCUGCCUUGCAAGGAAGGCCCUGGAGUCCCCGGGGGGCUGCGGCCUCUUCCCACACCAGAGCAUGGGCUCGGCAGCCAGGGCCUCCCAGCAGGGCGGAUGGGCCUCGGCCGAGGCAGCUGCUCUCCGCCGGCCACCUCGGCCACCGAGAGGGCCUGUGGCUGGGGCUGGGCAGGGGCUGGGCCUGGCCAGCAGGCACUUCUCGCCUCUUAGGAACUAAACCCGCCCUCAUGCUCCCUGACCACACGCCACAGCAAGAGGCCAGCAGGGCUGCCCGGCCAGCCGCCUCUGCCAAGACCAGCACUCGGGGAGCCAGAUGGCAGGGGCCUUUCCCAGCCUGCCAGCGGCUACCUGUGUGGCCUGGGGAGUCUGUCCACCUCCUAGACCUCAGACUCUGCCCCUGCCUGUGUCACAGGGGCGGCGAGGCGCUCCUUGACCAAGGCGGACGGUGUCCUGGAACCCGGGGGGACGAGUAGGGUGGAUUGGAUACGCAGUGUCCCCCGAAAGCUUCUGGGCUGGCAGGGGUGCGUCCAGAGGUGAAGAGUCUGGAGUGGCGGAGCUGUCCUUGCGGAACCAGCCGGGACCCACCAACCCGGGGGGAUGUAGGGAGGCGGGGCGGGCGGAGGUGGGUCACCAGGGCUGGGGGGUGCGUCUUCCCGUGGCCCCCCUCUGAACCCCUGUUUCCUUUCCUGUAGGCUGCCUCACCUGGGGCUCCAGCCAUGGACUGGCCAUCUAGGGACGGAGACCUCUGACACACGACCCAAAUAACCUUCCCUGCUCUGAGUCGCUCCGGCAGGGAAUUUUGGCCACGAAAACAAAAAAGCUCCUGAACUGCAGCUUUAAGUAAGUAACCAGCUGCAGCCGUGGCCCCGAGGCCGAGCGGCAGACCCACAGCUGGGCCACCCGAGCGGCCCAGGGACACCCCGGCUCCGGGAGAGGCUGACCCCAGGCUGCUGUCUUCUCCUGCCCAUCCUGCAGGCCAAGGGAGAUCAGAUCCACAGCCACAAGGGCCCAUGGAGAGCCGGUCCACCUUCCCGGUGUGGGGUUACGUGACCAGGCUCCUGGCCACCUCGCCUGAGCAAACGGUUGGGAUGACCUCUUUCCCUCCGCGUGGGCCCCGGGCCAGACCCGUCAGGGCCAAGCAGGGUGGAAAUCCGAUCGCCCACCGCAUUCUGGGCAGCAGCCUCCUGUGGGAUGCCAGGGGACAGCAGGACGAAGCUGUCACAAAGCCCUGGGCCAAGAGGCGGCCAACGGACUGUCCCAGUGAGGUGGGGACGGGUGGUACAGAGAAGAGAGCCUGGGAGGGGGCCCGGCACUGGGUGCUAUAUGGGUGCUGCCUCCCACGGCAGCCCUGGGACAGGGCUCCACGCCACAGAGAGGUCGUGUCACUUUCCCAGACACACAGUCAGGGAGCAGCUGAGCCAGGAUUGGACCAAGGCCUUCUGAUUCCAGGGUCCCCCUCCCCCGGAACAGUGGCUUUAAGCAAGGACAGAAAACCCCAGAGUGGGGGAGAGAGGGCUCCAGGGCCACUGUUUCCCACCUCGUAGGGAGGGGCGGGGGAGGGGCAAGCAGUGGGGACAGCAGAGCUUCUCUGGCUCUAAAGGGGCCUCCAGGAGUCACGGGGACCCACGGAAGGCGUUUGGCUCUGGGGAAACUCUCAGGUGACAAAUUUUAAAUAUUGCACAAUAUUUUAAAAACUGUAACUGGCUCCUGAAACCAAGCAGUAGCAACUCCAGACAUGUCCAAGGAGGCGCUCGGAAAAAAUCACAACUAACCUACAUGUCCAGCAGGAGGGGAACGGCUGAAUGAUGAGUCACUCCAAAACCAGCUUGUAUCAGUAAAGAAACUAAUCAUGGUUGCUCUUUACGCAAAACCCUAGUUAGAUUCUCUUGCCAUGGAAAGGGAAUGCUAAGUAAGAAAAGCAAUUUUCAGAAUAACCUGGAUGACAUGAAACCAUUUGUCCACACACACACACACACACACACAGGAACACUACUCCUUUAGGUCAUGCGUGUCAGUGCACAGAAAAAGAUCUCGAGGAUAUACCCAAGUAAUGACAAUGAGGUUUCACUCCAUGAGGUCAUCUCGGUGUCGUGGUGGCCAAGGAAGGCUUUGUUAAAAUUUGAUUUUUUUAUGUGUGGCAAAAACAUACUUGUGUAGGGCUGGGGAUGCGGCUCAGUAAGCAGAGUGCUGGCCUCACAUGCAGCAGGCCCGGGUCCCCUUCGUGGCACAGCAGUAAUAAUGGUAAAUACACACACACGGACACGUACGUGUCCAUACACACACACACACACACACACACGUGCGUGCACUAGUUUCUUCUUUGGAUAACUAAAACUUAGUGCAACAAGAUUAAAGAGACCAGAGCUGCUGGGGAAGCCGAUCUAUAUUGGAGUUGGGGAUCAGAGAAAUUCAGUCACUGCGGGGACAGGGACUCCGGGCCCUGCUGAGCCUCAGGAGUGUUGCUGGGGAGACAGGGGCGACCCUCAUUCCAACCCAUGGAUAGGGGAGAAGGGGGGGCAGCACGAGGUCCCCCCGUGACUCAAAGGGAGUGUCUUGGGCCGUCAGAGGUGCCCUGGCAGCCACCCCCGUCCAGCCUCCCCAGGGACCCCAGCACCCCCCUGGUCCCUGGACGAAUGCCCAGCUCCAGGGGUGCUCCUGGCCCGGGCCGCGUCUCCAGGGGGACUCUGCACAGAGGCAGGAACCAGGGAGGAGGCAGAAGAAAGGGGACAGGGACAGGGACAGGAAGUGCUCCCAGGCUGCCUCCCCGCAGUGGCCCAGCUGUGACAAGCCCAGACCCCGACUCAGGCAGAACCCGUGAGUCCCACAGACCUGACCCCAGUCGGGAACUGGCCCUGACCACGUCACGGGCAGAGGUCAGCGACGUCACUGCACCCAGACAGCUGCAGGGUCAGGAGUGAGCCCAGCCCGCCCUGACUCCCUCGAGACCUUGCCAAGGUCACUGUGCUCACUGCCAACGGGCCUGGGGAGGCCCCUGCCCGCCCCGUGAGGACACAGCGAGCAACACCUGCGUGGCCUCCUGUGGACCGUGCCGCUGUCCCCGCACGACAGGCCCUGCUGUUCUUCGCACCCGGGGCACUGAGGCGAGGCGGCGGCAAGGGCGGAGCCCCACACUGGCCGCAGGUCCAGGGCCCAGGGCGGCCGGGAAGACCUGCUUCUGGCCGAGGCCGCAGGCCAAGGAACUCUCAGGCAGAGGAAGGGCCAGGGAGACGGGGCGAGCCCAAGGGCAGUGCAGACUUUCUUGGCCGCUGGCCUGGACCCAGGGCGGGCACUCAGGGAGGGCAAGGGAACCGCUGGCAGGUGCCACCAAAGAGUCUGAUUUCUACCUGAAACUGGGGGAGGGGCCUCUGGAAGCCAGCCAGCCAGCCGGGAUCUGGGGCAGGAGCAGGUCACAGAACUGGGAAGGCGCCGGAGGAGAGGAAGGACUCAGUCACCAGGAGCAGCAGAGACAGGCUGUGACAACAGCAAACCGUGGACGGUGCCCUUGAACUCUGGACACGGCCUCGGGGGAUUCAAUCAGAUGUGUCCCUAAGAAGGGAGCCUGAGCCACACCCACAGGCUCAUGGUGUCCUCUGGGGAGAGGGGCCACCAAGAAGUAAGCAGGUCCCCUGGCACUCGUGAGGAAAAGUGCCAGCCUGGGGGACCCUGAGACGGGCUCGGAGCCGGCCUGACCCACAGCCAGCUCUGAGUCCUGAGUGGACCCACGGGCACAGAGGGUGGAGGGCUCAAGCUGCCAGUCACCACGCACCACCGGGGCCACAGUCAAAGCCCAGGCUUCUCGGCGACUCCUACCCGGCUGGCCAUGAAGCCAGGGCCAGGACCGGCAAGGAAUGGCUGCCAGUCCUGUGGUGCAGAACCUCGCCCCAGAGCCCCUGCUGAACAGCAGCCAGCCCGCCGCCUGCCCAGAGCUGCAGGGGGACAAGGCUGGGCCACCCAGAUGGGCCCCAGGGGAGGCGGCGCAGGUGGGGCUGCAGAGUGCUCCCCGGCUCCCCGCAGGCCCCACUCUCUGUGGACUUGUGGCCACACGCAGGUCCAGCCACACCUUGGUCUGUCCCCAGGAGCCUGGGGACAGGGCGUGCUGGCUCCUGGGGGGCAGGGGGCAAGGGCCUUGGCGCCCAGAGGCUGCCCUGCUGCUCCAUGGCUGGCCCAGGCUGGACGAGAACCGUCCUCACUGCCCCACCAGGGGCUUGCUGACCUCUGAGGCCACUCACGCAGAUCCCAGCCCUAGCCCCUGGAGGGACCUUGAAGGAAGCCGACUGAGGCCACCAGCCACCACUCACCUCCCACACAGACCCCCUGCCACUGGAGAGCAGUGCUUGGCCAAGCCCCUGACCUUAGGCCCUGACCACAGCCCCCCCUCCUCCUGCCACACCAGCAUGGCUCCGAUGUGCCCAGACUGCAACGGGACACCUGCUGGCAGCACCCAGUCCACGCUCCUGCAGCCCUGGCAGGAUGGGACAGAUGGGCUGCUGUGGCCAGCUCACCACCCAGGUGUCAACUCGUGGCUGGGACAGCCUGGAAGCUGCCUGGCCCACCCCAGAGGCCGCCUGCCUGUGCAGCCAGCACUGACUCACCGGACAGGAAGGGACCUCUCACCAGCAAUCAUCCACUGGCUCAAGAAGCAUCCCUCUGACGGCGCCCUGAGGGACACCAACCUGGCCCCUUUGGUCCUUUAGAUCACCAUGUUUCCCACCCUGAGCGUGAUGCUGCUAUCCGGACAGAAUUCCCAAACCUAGCCGUCUCUCUCCCCUGCUUAGGAAGUAUCCAUGGCUUCCCAGGGCCUCCAAGGCAGAGUCCCAUCCUCACCUAGUGGCACCCAAGGCCCUCCCAGUGUGGCCUAAGCCGCCUUUCCUGGACCCGCGGCACCUGUUCUCCUCCAAACUCCCGCCAUUCCCAGAGCCUCGUCCUGGCUGCCUGCCUUUGGACCACUGUCCCCAGACGCCUUCCCUCCCCCCCAGCCACCUGUCCUCCUCCUCACAGCAGGCGGCUCCUCCUGCUCCUCUGGGAGGGCACCUCGCCCUCCUACCUCCCCACCUCCGUGCCCUGGUAGGUGCCCUGCUCCCUGCCCCCCCCCCCAUGGCCAGCAGCAUCGGGGCAAGGGCUGCUCGAACUGCUUGUGGUGGAGACUGUUUUAAGUUCUCGGAUCUGUUGCCCACGGAUGCUUUGUGAAACACAAUAAAACUGACGGCUGACGUCAAGC